AAUCAACGCUGGCGGCGCGCUUAACACAUGCAAGUCGAACGAGAAAGGGGAGCAAUCCCUGAGUACAGUGGCGUACGGGUGAGUAACACGUGGAUGAUCUACCUUCUGGUGUGGAAUAACCAUGGGAAACCGUGGCUAAUACCGCAUAAGCUCGAGAGAGGAAAGCAGCAAUGCGCCGGAAGAGGAGUCCGCGGCCGAUUAGCUAGUUGGCAGGGUAAAAGCCUACCAAGGCGAAGAUCGGUAGCCGGCCUGAGAGGGCACACGGCCACA
rnacentral:rRNA from 1 species